rnacentral:rRNA from 1 species
AAUAGAUACCCAGGUAGUCCACGCCGUAAACGAUGGAUACUAGCUGUUUGAGCGCAAGUUUGAGUGGCUAAGCGAAAGUGAUAAGUAUCCCACCUGGGGAGUACGGGCGCAAGCCUGAAACUCAAAGGAAUUGACGGGGGCCCGCACAAGCGGUGGAGCAUGUGGUUUAAUUCGAUGAUACGCGAGGAACCUUACCAGGGCUUAAAUGUAGAUUGACGUAUUUGGAAACAGAUAUUUCUUCGGACAAUUUACAAGGUGCUGCAUGGUUGUCGUCAGCUCGUGCCGUGAGGUGUCAGGUUAAGUCCUAUAACGAGCGCAACCCCUGUUGUUAGUUGCCAGCGAGUAAUGUCGGGAACUCUAGCAAGACUGCCAGUGUAAACUGUGAGGAGGUGGGGAUGACGUCAAAUCAUCACGGCCCUUACGUCCUGGGCCACACACGUGCUACAAUGGCCGGUACAGAGAGCAGCCACUUAGCGAUAAGGAGCGAAUCUAUAAAGCCGGUCACAGUUCGGAUCGGAGU